CCGACGCAAGGGACGGUGCCUUCUGGGUAAUGCAGUUUUUCCCUUACAUCUACCGGGUGUGGGAACUCACCCAGCGCAUCCGACUCCACAGUCAAGGAAACUUUUCAUUUGAGCUAUUUGCAGCAUUUACUAGUUGAAUAUACUUCUGUGAACAAAAUUUGGAAAGUAUUUGUUUCUCUCUACCUGAUUUCUCCAGAAUUUGGAAACUAGUUGUGAGUAUUCUUAACUUAAGGCAAUAUAGUUAUUUGCAUAAAUGCAAUAAGAAUCUGUUUUCCUUUAUAACAGGACAUAAUUGGAGAAAUUGCUUAUUUUAGCAAGGCUUUGACUAGAAUGAUGUGCUUUCCUUUAAGGAAUCAAAGUUGACUUGUAGAGCCAAUAAAAGCCCUUUGGGGAACUGGCCUCACACCUUGCCUACACAGUCCCCGUACAGAGUUUCUGACCUGUGG